rnacentral:rRNA from 1 species
UACAGAGGUCUCAAGCGUUGUUCGGAUUCAUUGGGCGUAAAGGGCGCGUAGGCGGCGGGGUAAGUCGGGUGUGAAAUCUCAGGGCUCAACCCUGAAACUGCACUCGAUACUGCUCUGCUUGAGGACUGGAGAGGAGACUGGAAUUCACGGUGUAGCAGUGAAAUGCGUAGAUAUCGUGAGGAAGACCAGUGGCGAAGGCGGGUCUCUGGACAGUUCCUGACGCUGAGGAGCGAAAGCGAUGG